rnacentral:rRNA from 1 species
AUUGAACGCUGGCGGCAGGCUUAACACAUGCAAGUCGAGCGGGGACUUCGGUCCUAGCGGCGAACGGGUGAGGAAUGCUUGGGAAUCUGCCCAGUAGUGGGGGAUAACGUUUCGAAAGGAACGCUAAUACCGCAUACGUCCUACGGGAGAAAGGGGGGGAUCUUCGGACCUCUCGCUAUUGGAUGAGCCCAAGUCGGAUUAGCUAGUUGGUGAGGUAAAGGCUCACCAAGGCGACGAUCCGUAGCUGGUCUGAGAGGAUGAUCAGCCACACUGGAACUGAGACACGGUCCAGACUCCUACGGGAGGCAGCAGUGGGGAAUAUUGGACAAUGGGCGAAAGCCUGAUCCAGCCAUGCCGCGUGUGUGAAGAAGGCCUUCGGGUUGUAAAGCACUUUAAGCGAGGAGGAAUGGCUCUGGGUUAAUACCCUUGAGCAGUGACGUUACUCGCAGAAUAAGCACCGGCUAACUCUGUGCCAGCCGCCGCAGUAACAC